GCACUGCAAACAGACAGGGCCCUUUCAGUCCCCAUCCCCGUACCCAGUCCCCGUACCCAGUCCCCGUACCCAGUCCCCGUGCCCAGUCCCCGUACCCAGUCCCCGUACCCAGUCCCCGUACCCAGUCCCCGUACCCAGUCCCCGUACCCAGUCCCCGUACCCAGUCCCCGUACCCAGUCCCCGUACCCAAUCCCCAGUCCCCAGUCCCCGUACCCAGUCCCCAGUCCCCAGUCCCCAGUCCCCGUACCCAGUCCCCAGUCCCCAGUCCCCAGUCCCCGUACCCAGUCCCCGUACCCAGUCCCCGUACCCAGUCCCCGUACCCAGUCCCCGUGCCCAGUCCCCGUACCCAGUCCCCGUACCCAGUCCCCAUAACCCACUGAUUUGUUAGCGCCCUUGCUCUCCCCUUCCUUCCUUCUGACUUCCUCCCUCCGCCUCCCUUCCUCCUUCUUCCUCCUCCCCCUCCUUCCUCCCUCCACCUCCCUUCCACCCUUCCCUCCUCCCUCCCUCAUCCUCCUCCCUCCCCCCUCCUCCCUCCCUCCUGAACCAGUAGUGGGAGACCCAAUGAAGAACCAGCUCCGCCUCCCUGUGGUGGUAUUAAAUAUUAUUAUGUUGAUAUUAUUAUGAUAUUAUAUUAUAUGCACUAUCCAAAUCAAAGUUUCAUUCCAGUGAUUUUUAUUUCCUUAUCAGCUAGGAUUGCCAAUUGGAAAAACGAAACAAAGAGUUGUAUUUAUGUUUUCUUCUAGAGAGUUGUACUCUAGUGUCGUCUACUAGAUAGUGUGCAGGCGGACGUCCAGCCGUCUCAGAGAGGCGCUUGUUUCCAGACAAAUUGUAACCGGAGCAAGAUAUACAAAGGAAGCUGUAUAAAGUUGACAAAGAUUAACAUGUGCGCUCACCCCCCCGUUCUGACAACGUAACUCGGCUCCAGCGGUCCUGGACACUGCUGUACAUAAUCACAUCCUCUCCAAGUUACCAAUCUGGUGGCGGCGCUUAUGAUGACUUAGUGACAAUAUGUGAAAUCAGCGAUUGGGGGAAUGCAAUUACCCUCCCAGCACCCAGUCCCCACUCUGUCCUUGACCCCCCGCCGCCGUCGGACCGGUGUGCUGUGACCCCGAAGCAGUUGUGUUCUCUGAUCGAGUCCCAGAGUGAGCGCUAUAGCGUUUGUGAGAGGAGGUUUUUUUUGUUCGACCAGUUUUCCUGCGGUUGUAAAUGUGACGACAAACCUUGAAUGUUCAUGUUUCAUUUUUACGACGAGGUAUUAGUUUCAUUUUGCUAUUGCUCUCGCACACAAACACACAAACACAGAAAUUAUUCGGUAUGAUGCUACCCUUCUGAAUUCAAGGCCUUUCUCCGCACCUGCACAGGGGGAUUGUGGGUAAUCAAUAAUCUGAUGUUUUCAAGGCCGAAGCGGGCAGACAACACCCUCGUAAGUUGUUUCCAAAGCAACGGUGACAGAGUGAAGUAGACGACUCUUGGCUAACAGGCUCGGCACGGUCUUGUUGCUUCGUCUAUUAUGCGUCCGUUUGAUCCGCACAUCGCAGCGCUAUGGGAACUCGCAGAUGACUGAUGUGAUGCACACUUUGCUCAUGAUAUGAAUCUCUGGGCUGUAAAAUGAAUCAGUCUGGUUAUCUGGUGUGAUUACAGCUGGAACUCCCGGUUCAACCGAUGGAGAUGUACAGACAGCGGGAGGUGAGGGCAGGGCAACACGUGCAUGUGCAUCCUAUUCACUCAUCGUUUCUGCCGUUAUGCAUUGAAGAGAGACAGUAGGGUAAAGUCCUGCUGGCCUUAUUGCAAUUAAUCAUUAUGAUACAUACAGUGAUAGCCUAGAAUAUACACCAAGGUUUCAUGGAUGAUUGACCCUGUCAGGGUAGUGGUUCCACAGUUUGUGCUGUGUAUGUAGGCCUAUGGGCCCUUGGGGCUCUGGGAGGGAGUAAUCUCAUUUAAUUAGUUGACGCUUGCGUUAAAUCUGUGUACCUGGUUGGAAAGACUUGUGUGCAUUCUGAAAAAGAAAUGUGUCCUUUUAGUCUUAAUAUGUUUUCGAUGAUUGUGUGUGAGGGAGUGAGUCUGUGUGCGUGUGUGUGUGUGCGUGUGUGUGUGUGUGUGUGUGUUUGUGUGUGUGUCUGUCUGUGUGUGUGUGUAUGUGUGUCUAUUGCUUUCAAAAUGUUAAUAUCGUUGGCAAAAUAAAUCAGGCUUUUGCAAUCGAAGAAAACUGUAAUGGGUGGGGUGGGUGUGGGGGGAUGGGACCUAUUAUUGAAAUGUCACCGGGAAUCCAGUGUACCAUUUACCGGGAGUGCAUUUGAGCUGAGAGAUCUGUUAUGCAACCUCAUCUUCUCCCUAAUGGACGCUGCGCUGCAUGGGGUCACGUGCUCCACGUUAACCUCUCCCAACUGUGCAACCUAUUUUUCUACCAGUAAAUAAUGUACAUAGAAAUACUUGACAUGUCCUAGUUGGGGCCUUCUCUCGUUUGACUAGUUUUGCCUUAAAAUUGUAUUUGACGUGAUUGAUGUAUAGUUAUUAUUAGUUGUAUUUAUGUCAUGACCAAAGUAUAGAUGUAUGAGUUUACCCUCUCGACAAAGUGCAUUUUAAACGAUUUGAUAUUUUGUCCGGAAAUAUUUGAGGUACAUACUGUGUGUGUGUGUGUGGGAGCUGUGAGGUGAGUGUGUGUGUGUGCUCUGUUUUCCUGUGUGUUUUUCUAUGUGUGUGCGUGUGCACAUGUGUGUGUGUGCGUGUGUGCGGGUCUAGGUAUAGGUUUUGUGAGUUGUAAGUAGUGUAAAUACGAACAUAGAACCCAAGAAGGUUAACAUGUAAAAACUCUGUGAUUUAAGACUUCAUCAAACCACCCUGGAGCUGCCCAUUGUUAGUGCAUACCUACGAUAUCUUUAUAGUCUGAUCCCAGCGCGUCUCUGCUGCAGUCUGCACACGGCUGGGCUCACAGCUCCGUGUCAGAGGAUCCCACGUUUCAGGGAAUUACACAUCUGGAGAGCGGACCCUGGGUUUCAGUUAAACUGUGAAAUGGGUUUGACGGAAAACGCUGCAGUAAUCCUGGCUUUGCACUACAAACCAAGAGGGAGGUCUCUCUCUUUCACCUUGCAAAUUAAUAUCUGAGAUUCUCUUUACCGUCUACACGGAAAUGUGCGAAUGGGGAUUUUGGAGGUGGUUAAACUAUUCGGAAUGUCAAUAUCUGCCUGUGGUGUUGAGCAUGCAGUGCAGCUGUCUCAAAGUCGUUUUGUCAUUCUUAGGCACUUUGGUUUUCACGCACACCUGGAUUCUCGCUAAUGCUUCUGACAUUUUCUGUAACAUCAAUAUUCAGCGUUCAGUUGUCAUCCUGCUCACAUUUCUCCUCGAAACAACCUUUGAUGCUACACGCAUGUACAGAUGUUUGUGUUGCAGGCCGCUUUGAAAAAAAAAUACAAAUAAGGCACCACAAUAAUACUUAUAGCACAGGAAUAAUUCUUUAGAGGCUGUGAAACUCGAUAUCUUUUUAUUUAGUUCUGUUUCAUUUAAAGAUAUUACUAUGAAAGUCAAGGCACUUUGACACUGUCAAUCCUUUGAACAGGUGACCGCUCUGUAUGUGACACUUAUCAGCUUAUCGGUUUGAAGUAGGCACUUUAUCGUGAACAACAAUUCUUAAUGGCAUACGAUGAUAUAUUGGUUUACAAGGAAUUAUUCUGUGCAUCCCAACGUUUGGAUAUUUGUUCAUGAUUGUAAUAAAAAGGUUGUUAAUCAAGCAUUCCUUAGUAUGUAAGGUAACUGCGAUAAAAUGUUGGUAACCUUAAAUUUGUAUGCUUAACACAUCAGUGGUAAGCAAAAUAUGAUCAUAUAUUCUGCUGUUGAAAUGUGUAACACAUCUGAAAAUGAAUAUUAAAAUAUUUUUAUGUGAA